GAUGACCGCUAGCUACAGGCUUAACACCUGCAAGUCGCGGGACCGGCGCACGGGUGAGUAACACGUAUCCAACCUGCCCUUUACUCUGGGCUAGCCUUUCGAAAGAAAGCUUAAUACCCGAACUAAGGGAUGGGAAUGCGUUCGAUUAGGUUGUUGGUGAGGUAACGGCUCACCACGCCUUCGAUGGAUAGGGGUUCUGAGAGGAAGGUCCCCGACAUUGGAACUGGGACACGGUCCAAACGCCUACGGGAGGCAGCAGUGAGGAAUAUUGGUCAAUGGGCGCUAGCCUGAACCAGCCAAGUAGCGUGAAGGAUGAAGGCUUAUGGGUCGUAAACUUCUUGUAGAUAAGAAGAUGUAUUAUAUGAAUAAGGAUCGGCUAACUCCGUGCCAGCCGCCGCGGUAAUUC
rnacentral:rRNA from 1 species